rnacentral:rRNA from 1 species
UACGGAGGGUGCGAGCGUUGUCCGGAUUUAUUGGGCGUAAAGAGCGUGUAGGCGGCCAGACAGGUCUGCUGUGAAAACUCGAGGCUCAACCUCGAGACGCCGGUGGAAACCGUCUGGCUAGAGUCCGGAAGAGGAGAGUGGAAUUCCUGGUGUAGCGGUGAAAUGCGCAGAUAUCAGGAAGAACACCCGUGGCUAAGGCGGCUCUCUAGUACGGUACUGACGCUGAGACGCGAAAGCGUGGGGAGCGAACAGG